CCCUUUGUCAGGAUUAUUUCCAAAAGAUCAGUUCCUGCUUUUGAAUCACAAACCUCCGCUUGGUGGCUGAGAUGCCAUCUGAGAGACCUGACAGGGUGGUCGUUGGCGGUGGUCAACAUCCCGAGACGUCUCGGUUUGGGACAAACAACCGGAUCUCUCCUGUCCGAGACGCAGCUCCGUAUCUCUUCGCGGGUAGAGAAAGCGCUUGGAUGGAUAGCAC
rnacentral:misc_RNA from 1 species